rnacentral:tRNA from 1 species
GCCCCUGUAGCUCAGCUGGUAGAGCACGCGACUGUUAAUCGUGGUGUCGAAGGUCCGAGUCCUUCCAGGGGCG